UAAGUUAUUAAGGGCGCACGGUGGAUGCCUUGGCACUAGAAGCCGAUGAAGGACGUUACUAACGACGAUAUGCUUUGGGGAGCUGUAAGUAAGCUUUGAUCCAGAGAUUUCCGAAUGGGGAAACCCAGCAUGAGUUAUGUCAUGUUAUCGAUAUGUGAAUACAUAGCAUAUCAGAAGGCACACCCGGAGAACUGAAACAUCUUAGUACCCGGAGGAAGAGAAAGAAAAUUCGAUUCCCUUAGUAGCGGCGAGCGAAACGGGAAGAGCCCAAACCAACAAGCUUGCUUGUUGGGGUUGUAGGACACUCUAUACGGAGUUACAAAGGACGACAUUAGACGAAUCAUCUGGAAAGAUGAAUCAAAGAAGGUAAUAAUCCUGUAGUCGAAAAUGUUGUCUCUCUUGAGUGGAUCCUGAGUACGACGGAGCACGUGAAAUUCCGUCGGAAUCUGGGAGGACCAUCUCCUAAGGCUAAAUACUCUCUAGUGACCGAUAGUGAACCAGUACCGUGAGGGAAAGGUGAAAAGCACCCCGGAAGGGGAGUGAAAUAGAACCUGAAACCGUGUGCUUACAAGUAGUCAGAGCCCGUUAAUGGGUGAUGGCGUGCCUUUUGUAGAAUGAACCGGCGAGUUACGAUUUGAUGCAAGGUUAAGCAGUAAAUGUGGAGCCGUAGCGAAAGCGAGUCUGAAUAGGGCGUUUAGUAUUUGGUCGUAGACCCGAAACCAGGUGAUCUACCCUUGGUCAGGUUGAAGUUCAGGUAACACUGAAUGGAGGACCGAACCGACUUACGUUGAAAAGUGAGCGGAUGAACUGAGGGUAGCGGAGAAAUUCCAAUCGAACCUGGAGAUAGCUGGUUCUCUCCGAAAUAGCUUUAGGGCUAGCCUCAAGUGAUGAUUAUUGGAGGUAGAGCACUGUUUGGACGAGGGCCCCUCUCGGGUUACCGAAUUCAGACAAACUCCGAAUGCCAAUUAAUUUAACUUGGGAGUCAGAACAUGGGUGAUAAGGUCCGUGUUCGAAAGGGAAACAGCCCAGACCACCAGCUAAGGUCCCAAAAUAUAUGUUAAGUGGAAAAGGAUGUGGCGUUGCCCAGACAACUAGGAUGUUGGCUUAGAAGCAGCCAUCAUUUAAAGAGUGCGUAAUAGCUCACUAGUCGAGUGACACUGCGCCGAAAAUGUACCGGGGCUAAACAUAUUACCGAAGCUGUGGAUUGUCCUUUGGACAAUGGUAGGAGAGCGUUCUAAGGGCGUUGAAGCAUGAUCGUAAGGACAUGUGGAGCGCUUAGAAGUGAGAAUGCCGGUGUGAGUAGCGAAAGACGGGUGAGAAUCCCGUCCACCGAUUGACUAAGGUUUCCAGAGGAAGGCUCGUCCGCUCUGGGUUAGUCGGGUCCUAAGCUGAGGCCGACAGGCGUAGGCGAUGGAUAACAGGUUGAUAUUCCUGUACCACCUAUAAUCGUUUUAAUCGAUGGGGGGACGCAGUAGGAUAGGCGAAGCGUGCGAUUGGAUUGCACGUCUAAGCAGUAAGGCUGAGUAUUAGGCAAAUCCGGUACUCGUUAAGGCUGAGCUGUGAUGGGGAGAAGACAUUGUGUCUUCGAGUCGUUGAUUUCACACUGCCGAGAAAGCCUCUAGAUAGAAAAUAGGUGCCCGUACCGCAAACCGACACAGGUAGUCAAGAUGAGAAUUCUAAGGUGAGCGAGCGAACUCUCGUUAAGGAACUCGGCAAAAUGACCCCGUAACUUCGGGAGAAGGGGUGCUCUUUAGGGUUAACGCCCAGAAGAGCCGCAGUGAAUAGGCCCAAGCGACUGUUUAUCAAAAACACAGGUCUCUGCUAAACCGUAAGGUGAUGUAUAGGGGCUGACGCCUGCCCGGUGCUGGAAGGUUAAGAGGAGUGGUUAGCUUCUGCGAAGCUACGAAUCGAAGCCCCAGUAAACGGCGGCCGUAACUAUAACGGUCCUAAGGUAGCGAAAUUCCUUGUCGGGUAAGUUCCGACCCGCACGAAAGGCGUAACGAUUUGGGCACUGUCUCAACGAGAGACUCGGUGAAAUCAUAGUACCUGUGAAGAUGCAGGUUACCCGCGACAGGACGGAAAGACCCCGUGGAGCUUUACUGUAGCCUGAUAUUGAAAUUCGGCACAGCUUGUACAGGAUAGGUAGGAGCCUUUGAAACGUGAGCGCUAGCUUACGUGGAGGCGCUGGUGGGAUACUACCCUAGCUGUGUUGGCUUUCUAACCCGCACCACUUAUCGUGGUGGGAGACAGUGUCAGGCGGGCAGUUUGACUGGGGCGGUCGCCUCCUAAAAGGUAACGGAGGCGCUCAAAGGUUCCCUCAGAAUGGUUGGAAAUCAUUCAUAGAGUGUAAAGGCAUAAGGGAGCUUGACUGCGAGACCUACAAGUCGAGCAGGGUCGAAAGACGGACUUAGUGAUCCGGUGGUUCCGCAUGGAAGGGCCAUCGCUCAACGGAUAAAAGCUACCCCGGGGAUAACAGGCUUAUCUCCCCAAGAGUUCACAUCGACGGGGAGGUUUGGCACCUCGAUGUCGGCUCAUCGCAUCCUGGGCUGUAGUCGGUCCCAAGGGUUGGGCUGUUCGCCCAUUAAAGCGGUACGCGAGCUGGGUUCAGAACGUCGUGAGACAGUUCGGUCCCUAUCCGUCGUGGGCGUAGGAAAUUUGAGAGGAGCUGUCCUUAGUACGAGAGGACCGGGAUGGACAUACCUCUGGUGUACCAGUUGUCGUGCCAACGGCAUAGCUGGGUAGCUAUGUGUGGACGGGAUAAGUGCUGAAAGCAUCUAAGCAUGAAGCCCCCUCAAGAUGAGAUUUCCCAACUUCGGUUAUAAGAUCCCUCAAAGAUGAUGAGGUUAAUAGGUUCGAGGUGGAAGCAUGGUGACAUGUGGAGCUGACGAAUACUAAUCGAUCGAAGACUUAAUCA
rnacentral:rRNA from 1 species